AAACUGCUUGGAGAAGAGCCUGGUGUUGCGUCUUCCUUGCUGUUCGAGGCGGAUGCAACAAGUCGUGGCCCGUUCGCGGAGCCUUUACCUCCCCUGUCUCUUGAAGGCUCAGAACUCUUCGCAGUCAGGGCAGUGCACUGGUUCAGGAGACAUAGCAGAAGAUGAUGUGGGGAUCUUGUAAGAGUCAGAAGACCAGGAGAGCUGCUGUGAGAAUGUGUCUCCAUGAAAUGAAAGAGAAGCUUCACUCAUGAUACCUAAACAAUAUGGCUGCUAAAAGAAGACCUGAACAAGGAUACUACCAAUAGACAUGAUAGCAUGGAAGAGGAAAAACUCUCACAGGGCUCCACCCCUGGACAAAGAACGACAGUUCACAUAUGCUUACUGAUGCCAUGAGAAGAUGAAGGAGAGCUUUUCUUCCAGUAGGAAGGACUUGGCAGUGGAACCUCACAGACUGCAAUAUCCACAGACUGCAAACUCUACCAUUCUUACACUCAGAGUGGUCCACAUGUUCUGAGUGCAUCCAAGACCUUUUAUGCAUGAUGAAUACAGA